rnacentral:rRNA from 1 species
ACUUAAAUUGAAGAGUUUGAUCAUGGCUCAGAUUGAACGCUGGCGGCAGGCCUAACACAUGCAAGUCGAACGGUAGCACAGAGAGCUUGCUCUCGGGUGACGAGUGGCGGACGGGUGAGUAAUGUCUGGGAAACUGCCCGAUGGAGGGGGAUAACUACUGGAAACGGUAGCUAAUACCGCAUAACGUCGCAAGACCAAAGUGGGGGACCUUCGGGCCUCACACCAUCGGAUGUGCCCAGAUGGGAUUAGCUAGUAGGUGGGGUAACGGCUCACCUAGGCGACGAUCCCUAGCUGGUCUGAGAGGAUGACCAGCCACACUGGAACUGAGACACGGUCCAGACUCCUACGGGAGGCAGCAGUGGGGAAUAUUGCACAAUGGGCGCAAGCCUGAUGCAGCCAUGCCGCGUGUAUGAAGAAGGCCUUCGGGUUGUAAAGUACUUUCAGCGAGGAGGAAGGCGUUGUGGUUAAUAACCACAGCGAUUGACGUUACCCGCAGAAGAAGCACCGGCUAACUCCGUGCCAGCAGCCGCGGUAAUACGGAGGGUGCAAGCGUUAAUCGGAAUUACUGGGCGUAAAGCGCACGCAGGCGGUUUGUUAAGUCAGAUGUGAAAUCCCCGGGCUCAACCUGGGAACUGCAUUUGAAACUGGCAAGCUUGAGUCUCGUAGAGGGGGGUAGAAUUCC